UAACACGUUUAAGCGCGCCUUUUCUCUCUCUAUUGAAGAUGUGACGUCCUCCACUGUCGCCGCCGCUCGCGUCGCACGAGCUCCCUCCACCGAUGCUCUCAUCGCAUUUGCAACCUUCGUCGCCAUCGUCACACGAGCUCUCUCCACCGUGCUCUUAUCUUAGGAGCUCCUUCCGCCGCCGCUCUCAUCACUACUUCUUCUCUUCUCGUCGCCGUUAGUUUAGAAUACGAUCGAGGAGAGCUCUUAUGUUUGCAAAUCAGCUAUGGCUGCUGCAGAGAACGAAGUUUCUAAAUUCUAAGCUCCCAAGGUUCUGGUCCGAGGUUAGUUGCAGUUUCAAUUAGUUUUGGUGGGAUGCUUAUAUUUGCAAUGAUGCUUGGACUUGUCUCUGAUGCCAUUUCUGAGAAGUUCGACUCACUGAGGAAAGAAAAAAGUGAGGUAGUUGAGCAAAAUCAUACUUUGAUUCUUGGCUGGAGUGAUAAAUUGAACUGGGAGCUCACUGAUUCUGGCUGAUCUUAAAAAGUUUCAGGCAGUACAAACUUGAUAGAUGCAUGGCUCUCUAUUAACACUACUAGCACAGCAGAAGCUGUUUUUUUCCCCUCAUAUUGAUUGAUGGUUGAAAGGAAGAAGCAUUAAAUGAAAGAAGGAUGCACACUCCGAUUUCUUACAAACUUUUUUUGGAUUUCUUUUCAUGCUCCUUUUGUGUGUUCUCUUCAACUGAUUAAGUUGGUGACAGUGACGAAACCUUUACUGUUUCGAGCUUCAGCUACCUUGAGACUAGGCUUAUACCCUUUGAUUUGCAUUAUUUCAGAGUUUGAAUUUCAGUGGAUCGGAAUUGAAAUAUAAUAUAAAGUUGAAAGGUAACAUAUAUUAACAGGUUUAAAUACUUUGGAACAACUUUUGCAUGAGCUGUCAUCAAAUUCUUCACGCCCUCACGGCAUGUAUGUUCUGCUUUGGCUUCAGUAAUAAUGGGAAUGGCUCCUGUAUUAGGAAAGAGGAGUGCAAUCACAGUUGAAGCAAUACCUACAAAUCUCCAUAUCUUUGGUUGCUUCAGCUACUGCUGAAUCUUGAAGACCAAGGUCACCAUCUUGAGUUGUGAUCAGUGCUUAAGAAUUACUAGUUUCACAUAUUAUUUAGUAUGGUUGAACAAUACAUUGAGGAUUAUAGCUGAUGUAUCAAUACACUUUAUUU